CCUUCAUGAAGCCGGAAUUGCUAGUAAUGGCAGGUCAGCAUACUGCCGUGAAUACGUUCCCGGGCCUUGUACACACCGCCCGUCACACCAUGAGAGUUGGAGAUACCCGAAGCCUGUGAGCUAACAAACGAGGCAGCAGUCGAAGGUAGAAUCAAUGAUUGGGGUGAAGUCGUAACAAGGUAUC
rnacentral:rRNA from 1 species